GAAAUGCGAUACGUAAUGUGAAUUGCAGAAUUCAGUGAAUCAUCGAAUCUUUGAACGCACCUUGCACCCCUUGGCAUUCCGAGGGGUACACCCGUUUGAGUGUCGUGAAAUUCUCAAACCUUCUUGGUUUCUUGAUCAAGAAGGCUUUGGACUUUGGAGGUCUUUUGCUGGCUUUGCGAAAAGUCAGCUCCUCUUAAAUGCAUUAGUGAGGUCCUCUUUGCGGAUCCCCAGGCGUUGAUAAGAUGCUUCUACGUCUUGGGAUUUGCUCUGUUCAUUGGGAACCCGCUUCUAACCGUCUCACUAUGGGAGACAUAGUUCGAGCUUGCUCGACCCACGAACCUUGACCUCAAAUCGGGUGAGACUACCCGCUGAACUUAA
rnacentral:misc_RNA from 1 species